UUGUGUUAUUCUAUAGUCUUUGUUAUUAAUUAACUGAAAACCAACAAAGAGUAUAGAACCCUGUAUAGUUACUGUAUAUUCUUUGACACCAAUGCCACUGAGUGUAGGCUAUUACACGCGAUGGCCUUUUGGUGCGCAUGCGCGUUUCCUUUCCUCAUUAUUGAAAACAGACGCGAUGUUCAGAAAUUCAUACUUACAGCGGUGCUCGCGAAACAGUUAAAAAGUACUGCGAGGUAGCGCAGUUUGGCCGCCAUUUUACCUCCCUGUACUGUGAGCUACUGUAAGGAAGUGGCCCAUGGUCUCUCACCCAUCCUGACAGCUGAGAGAGCGGGUGUCUGGCUGUGAGAGGACGGGGCCAUGGUCAGCAGCAGCAACAGCAGGAAGAGGAAGAGGAGGUGAAUCGACAGCAGCAGCGCUGGCAGAGCCGGCAUCUUCCACUGCUCCUCAUGGAGAAAGGUCGUCUGGCUGCCUGCACCGCCACCUAGAGGACAGGAUGAAGCUGUGAAGAAUCAGUGGUUAAAGAUGAGACCGUACCUGCUUUAUUUGGACCAGCUUGCUCUUCAGAAUCACAACCUAAAUGCUAAUCAGCUAUUGGCCACUAUUACCUAAAACUGUCCAUUAAUACAGAUUGUCUGUUGUUCUUUCUUACUACUUUGAGUAAUGAAAAAGGAUGGAGCAAGAUUUGUUUGAUAAACUUUAAUGUUACAUCAGUCUUGACAUUAGUGCUUGGCUAAUGUAUGCACUGUUAUUGAUAUUGUUAAUAAUACAGUUCCCACAUGUGCACCACAAUAAAUUAGAAAUAUCCUAAUUAAUCAUCCUUGCAAUGGAGCUUCAGGUUGAAUAACUAGUUCUUCCAAC